rnacentral:miRNA from 1 species
GGAUAUCAUCCUAUACUGUAAGU